rnacentral:rRNA from 1 species
UACGGAGGAUGCGAGCGUUAUCCGGAUUUAUUGGGUUUAAAGGGUGCGUAGGCGGAUUUUUAAGUCAGCGGUAAAAUGUCCGGGCUCAACCCGGGCCGGCCGUUGAAACUGGGGAUCUUGAGUGGGCGAGAAGUAUGCGGAAUGCGUGGUGUAGCGGUGAAAUGCAUAGAUAUCACGCAGAACUCCGAUUGCGAAGGCAGCAUACCGGCGCCCGACUGACGCUGAGGCACGAAAGCGUGGGAAUCGAACAGG